AACGCGAAGAACCUUACCUGGGCUUGAACCGCUACGGACCAACGGUAGAAAUAUCGUCUUCCCGCAAGGGACCGUAGUAGAGGUGCUGCAUGGCUGUCGUCAGCUCGUGCCGUGAGGUGUUGGGUUAAGUCCCGCAACGAGCGCAACCCUUACUCGUAGUUGCUACCCGCAAGGGAGAACUCUACGAGGACUGCUCCGGAUAACGGAGAGGAAGGUGGGGAUGACGUCAAGUCAGCACGGCCUUUAUGUCCAGGGCUACACACGUGUUACAAUGCAUGGUACAGACUGUUGCGAACCCGCGAGGGGGAGCUAAUCGGACAAAGCCAUGCUCAGUUCGGAUUGCAGUCUGCAACUCGACUGCAUGAAGCUGGAAUCGCUAGUAAUGCCGUAUCAGAUCGACGGCGUGAAUACGUUCCCGGGCCUUGUA
rnacentral:rRNA from 1 species